rnacentral:rRNA from 1 species
UACGGGGGGUGCAAGCGUUGUCCGGAAUCAUUGGGCGUAAAGCGUUCGUAGGCGGCAAGGUAAGUCUGAUGUUAAAGCCCGGGGCUCAACUCCGGUUCGGCAUUGGAUACUAUCUAGCUAGAAUGUGGUAGAGGUAAAGGGAAUUCCUGGUGUAGCGGUGAAAUGCGUAGAUAUCAGGAGGAACAUCGGUGGCGAAAGCGGCAAUCUGGCUGGAAACUGACGCUGAGGUGCGAAAGCGUGGGUAGCAAACAGG